CAGCCGCCGCGGUAAUACGUAGGUGGCAAGCGUUGUCCGGAAUUAUUGGGCGUAAAGCGCGCGCAGGCGGCCUAUCCAGUCUGUCUUAAAAGUUCGGGGCUCAACCCCGUGAUGGGAUGGAAACUAGUAGGCUAGAGUAUCGGAGAGGAAAGCGGAAUUCCUAGUGUAGCGGUGAAAUGCGUAGAUAUUAGGAAGAACACCAGUGGCGAAGGCGGCUUUCUGGACGAAAACUGACGCUGAGGCGCGAAAGCUAGGGGAGCGAACGGGAUUAGAUACCCCUGUAGUCCCUGUCUCUUAUACA
rnacentral:rRNA from 1 species